AUACGUAGGGGCGAGCGUUGUCCGGAAUGAUUGGGCGUAAAGGGCGCGUAGGCGGCCCGGUAAGUCUGGAGUGAAAGUCCUGUUUUUAAGAUGGGAAUUGCUUUGGAUACUGUCGGGCUUGAGUGCAGGAGAGGUAAGUGGAAUUCCCAGUGUAGCGGUGAAAUGCGUAGAGAUCGGGAGGAACACCAGUGGCGAAGGCGACUUACUGGACUGUAACUGACGCUGAGGCGCGAAAGUGUGGGGAGCAAACAGGAUUAGAUACCCUGGUAGUCCACACUGUAAACGAUGAAUGCUAGGUGUAGGGGGUAUCGACCCCUUCUGUGCCGCAGUCAACACAAUAAGCAUUCCGCCUGGGGAGUACGGCCGCAAGGUUGAAACUCAAAUGAAUUGACGGGG
rnacentral:rRNA from 1 species